rnacentral:tRNA from 2 species
GCCCGAAUGACGUAAUGGAAAACGUGCAGCCCUGAGAUGGCUGUGGCCGCAAGGCCGUGCGGGUUCGAGUCCCGCUUCGGGCACCA